rnacentral:rRNA from 1 species
AGCUCGUAGUUGAAUUUCGGGAUCAAUAUUUCGGUCAUGCCGUUGGUAUGCACUGUUAUCAUUGAUUUCUCACCUUCUAAAGAACCGUGAUGCCAUUAAUUUGGUGUUACGGGGAAUUAGGACUGUUACCUUGAAAAAAUUAGAGUGUUUAAAGCAGGCUCACGCUUGAAUACAUUAGCAUGGAAUAAUGAAAUAGGACAUCCGAUUCUAUUUUGUUGGUUUCUAGGAUCGAUGUAAUGAUUAAUAGGGAUAGUUGGGGGCAUUAGUAUUCAAUUGUCAGAGGUGAAAUUCUUGGAUUUAUUGAAGACUAACUACUGCGAAAGCAUUUGCCAAGGAUGUUUUCAUUAAUCAAGAACGAAAGUUAGGGGAUCGAAGACGAUCAGAUACCGUCGUAGUCUUAACCAUAAACUAUGCCGACUAGGGAUCGGAUGAUGUUAAUUUUUUAAUGACUCAUUCGGCACCUU